CCUACGGGUGGCAGCAGUGGGGAAUAUUGGACAAUGGGGGGAACCCUGAUCCAGCGACGCCGCGUGAGUGAAGAAGUAUUUCGGUAUGUAAAGCUCUAUCAGCCGGGAAGAAAGAAAUGACGGUACCUGACUACGAAGCCCCGGCUAACUACGUGCCAGCAGCCGCGGUAAUACGUAGGGGGCAAGCGUUAUCCGGAUUUACUGGGUGUAAAGGGAGCGUAGACGGCGAUGCAAGUCUGAAGUGAAAGGCGGGGGCCCAACCCCUGGACUGCUUUGGAAACUGUAUGGCUGGAGUGCAGGAGAGGUAAGUGGAAUUCCGAGUGUAGCGGUGAAAUGCGUAGAGAUUAGGAGGAACACCAGUGGCGAAGGCGGCUUACUGGACUGUAACUGACGUUGAGGCUCGAAAGCGUGGGGAGCAAACAGGAUUAGAUACCCCUGUAGUC
rnacentral:rRNA from 1 species